rnacentral:rRNA from 1 species
UACAGAGGGGGCAAGCGUUAUUCGGAAUUAUUGGGCGUAAAGGGCGCGUAGGCGGCGAUUCAAGUGACGGGUGAAAUCCCUCGGCUUAACCGAGGAACUGCCUGUCAGACUGGGUUGCUUGAGACCGGGAGAGGCGAGUGGAAUUCCCAGUGUAGCGGUGAAAUGCGUAGAUAUUGGGAGGAACACCAGUGGCGAAGGCGGCUCGCUGGACCGGAACUGACGCUGAGACGCGAAAGCGUGGGGAGCGAACAGG